rnacentral:rRNA from 1 species
AACGAACGCUGGCGGCAUGCCUAACACAUGCAAGUCGAACGAUACCUUCGGGUCUAGUGGCGCACGGGUGCGUAACGCGUGAGAAUCUGCCCUUGGGUUCGGAAUCACAGUUGGAAAUGCCUGCUAAUACCGGAUGAUGACGUCAGUCAAAAGAUUUAUCGCCCAGGGAUGAGCCCGCGUAGGAUUAGCUAGUUGGUGAGGUAGAGGCUCACCAAGGCGACGAUCAUUAGCUGGUCUGGGAGGAUGAACAGCCACACUGGGACUGGGACACGGCCCAGACUCCUACUGGAGGCAGCAGUGGGGAAUAAUGGACAAUGGGCGAGAGCCUGAUGCAGCAAUGCCGGGUGAGUGAUGAAGGCGUUAGGGUUGUAGGGCUGUUUUGCCCGUGAGGAUAAUGACGGUACCGGGAGAAGAAGCGCCGGCUAACUCCGUG